ACGCACAUGCAAGUGACUGUAAUCCGCUGUGGUAAGGGUUGGGAGAGAAUCUAUGACUAUUGGUAAAGAUGACAAAGCUGAAGAAUACAGAGGACCACACCAAACAGGAGGUUUUUAAUAAUCAACAAAUCCAAGGACUGGCUUAGCUGACCAGCGGUUCGUCAGUCCUAGAAGUCCCAGGGCAGCGAAGGAAGGCUGCAGGUGGCAGAAAGCAUGGGGAAUGUUGCCAAGAACCCGGAUCUUGGGAUCUGCCAUCUCCAGGCACGGUCCUCACAGGCAGAUAACAAGGUAACUGCAACAGCUACUGCCUAUGCAGGUGCACACCUCACUCCUAACGCAAGCUGCAGCUCUCCUCCAGGCUCCAGGCUUCCACAAGAGGAUAAAAUCCAACCCUUCCACAGACAAUGGCAUUUCUCAAAGAAAGUCGUUUCCCAAGGAAAUUCAGCUAUCACCUCUGCCUGGUCACCCAGGAAGCUAACCCGCCGGUGACACUCUCACUUUCCCCUCACAGUCCCACGUGUCCCAGGAAGUUCUUCAGACCCCGGUGGCUGCGCAAGUCUGCCUCUGCCCUUAACACUUGCAGCAUGCCUUCUGUUGCAAUCCACUAAGCUGCCUUCUAGCUUCACGUGGGUGCACCUCACCGUGUCAAUAAGAACUUAAGGGCAAAAUUCAUGCAUUCCAUUGCUUUCGCUUCACCCACAGCACCAGUGAGAUAAAAAACUAAAUAGAUCUUCAAUGAUCACUUGUGUAAAUCUGAGCAUUUCCGGAACUAGAAAGGGAAAUAAAAAUCCUUUGCCUUUACUAUA